UACAGAGGGUGCGAGCGUUAAUCGGAUUUACUGGGCGUAAAGCGUGUGUAGGUGGUCAGGAAAGUCGGUUGUGAAAUCCCCGGGCUCAACUCGGGAACUGCUUCCGAUACUUCUUGACUCGAAUUCGGUAGAGGGAGGCGGAACUCCAGGUGUAGCGGUGAAAUGCGUAGAUAUCUGGAAGAACACCAAUGGCGAAGGCAACCUCCUGGGCCUGAAUUGACACUGAGACACGAAAGCGUGGGGAUCAAACAGG
rnacentral:rRNA from 1 species